GAUGAACGCUGGCGGCGUGCCUAAUACAUGCAAGUCGAGCGAACGGACGAGAAGCUUGCUUCUCUGAUGUUAGCGGCGGACGGGUGAGUAACACGUGGAUAACCUACCUAUAAGACUGGGAUAACUUCGGGAAAACGGAGCUAAUACCGGACAAUAUUUUGAACCGCAUGGUUCAAAAGUGAAAGACGGUCUUGCUGUCACUUAUAGAUGGAUCCGCGCUGCAUUAGCUAGUUGGUAAGGUAACGGCUUACCAAGGCAACGAUGCAUAGCCGACCUGAGAGGGUGAUCAGCCACACUGGAACUGUGACGCGGUCCGGACUCCUACGGGAGGCGACAGUGGAGAAUCUUCCACAAUGGGCGAGAGCCUGACGGGACAACGCCGCGUGAGUGAUAAAAUUCUUCGGAUCGUAAAACUCUGUUAUUAGGGAAGGACAUAUGUGUGAGUAACUGUGCACAUCUUGACGGUACCUAAUCAGAAAGCCACGGCUAACUACGUG
rnacentral:rRNA from 1 species